UACUUCCUAAGAGUACUAAUUCCACGAUAUAUUGGUCAGAAGAAGAGCUAACUGAGCUUCAAGGAUCCCAACUGCUGCGCACAACACUGGGUGUAAAGGAAUUUUUGCAGCGGGAAUUUCUGAAAGUAGAAGAAGAAGUCCUUGUUCCUCAUAAGGAGCUCUUUCCUUCCCCUGUAACAUUGGAUGACUUCUUUUGGGCAUUUGGGAUUCUCAGAUCAAGGGCAUUUUCUCGUCUUCGUGGGCAAAAUCUUGUUCUGAUUCCCCUUGCAGAUCUGGUCAAUCACAGUCCUGAUAUAACA
rnacentral:misc_RNA from 1 species